rnacentral:rRNA from 1 species
UACGUAGGGUGCGAGCGUUGCCCGGAUUUAUUGGGCGUAAAGGGCGCGUAGGCGGCUCGGCACGUCCGUUGUGAAAUCGCCCCGGCUCAACUGGGCGGGGUCGGCGGAUACGGCCGAGCUGGAGCAAGCUAGGGGGUAAUGGAAUUCCCGGUGUAGUGGUGGAAUGCGUAGAUAUCGGGAGAACACCAGUGGCGAAGGCGGUUACCUGGAGCUUUGCUGACGCUGAUGCGCGAAAGCGUGGGGAGCGAGUCCGG